AAUCAUUUUAGUGUGCAUUGAAUAAAUAUGGUAAUUUAAAUGCUUUUUUGAAAAUUCUUUUCAUUAAUUUCUGAAAAUUAGGGAUUUGAAGAUUGUGAAAUACUGGCUGAACUGCUGGAAGCUUAUAGUUAUGAACCCAAAAAUGUCCUUCCUUUGUUUUCGGAAAGACGACACCAAGACGCAGAAUCAAUAUGUGAUUUAGCUAUGUACAACUAUGUUGAGAUGAGACACUUGGUGACUUCGAAAAAAUUUUUACUAAGGAAGAAGUUGGAUAAUGCAUUGAACAAACUUUUCCCUAAAUCCUGGAUUCCUUUAUACACAAUGGUUACAUUUUCAAAGCUGCGCUAUUCU